rnacentral:rRNA from 1 species
AAUUGAUGCUCUCAUUUUUUGUAAAGGGGCGAAAUACUCAUCGAAACAUUUAGUAGCUGGUUCCUUUCGAAGUUUCUCCCAGGAUAGCUGUGUUUUAUUAAAGAGUCUUGCCAUGUAAAGCGAACGUUUAGAAGAUUUGGGGAUAACUUUUCCUCUGCUUAUUCACGAACUUUAAAUGGGCACGAAAAAAAGUUUACUUAAUUUUGAAACUUUUUAUUGGAUCGAAAAAAACAUUAGUGGGCCUCUUCUGGUAAGCAGGACGGGCGAGGUGGGAUGCUCCAAGUGUUGUUGGUUAAAGUGCCAAAGUGUUCGCUAAUCUAGAUACCAAAAAAGGCGUUUUGUUUCAUAGACAGUUGGGCUGUGGCCAUGGAAGCAGGAAUCAGCCAAGGAAUGCGUAAUAGCUCACCAGCCGAGAGACAAAGCCCUGAAAAUUCAUGGCGCUAAAAGCGAACGUGUUUUAAACAAAAAAACAACUUAUACC